ACUCAAAGGAAUAGACGGGGGCCCGCACAAGCAGCGGAGCGUGUGGUUUAAUUCGAUGCAACGCGAAGAACCUCACCUAGGCUUGACAUGCUGGAAGUAGAACCCUGAAAGGGGAACGACCCGUAGAGUCGGGAGUCAGCACAGAUGCUGCAUGGCUGUCGUCAGCUCGUGCCGUGAGGUGUUGGGUUAAGUCCCGCAACGAGCGCAACCCUCGCCGCUAGUUACCAUGUCUAGCGGGACCGCCGGUAUCAAACCGGAGGAAGGUGGGGAUGACGUCAAGUCAGCACGGCUCUUACGCCUAGGGCUACACACACGCUACAAUGGCCGGUACAACGGGACGCCAAGGGGUGACCCGGAGCUAAUCCCAGCAAAGCCGGUCUCAGUUGGGAUUGCAGGCUGCAACUCGCCUGCAUGAACGCGGAGUUGCUAGUAACCGCAGGUCAGCACACUGCGGUGAAUACGUUCCCGGGCCUUGUACACACCGCCCGU
rnacentral:rRNA from 1 species